rnacentral:rRNA from 1 species
AUUGAACGCUGGCGGCAUGCCUUACACAUGCAAGUCGAACGGCAGCACGGGAGCAAUCCUGGUGGCGAGUGGCGAACGGGUGAGUAAUAUAUCGGAACGUGCCCAGUCGUGGGGGAUAACGUAGCGAAAGCUACGCUAAUACCGCAUACGAUCUACGGAUGAAAGCGGGGGAUCGCAAGACCUCGCGCGAUUGGAGCGGCCGAUAUCAGAUUAGGUAGUUGGUGAGGUAAAGGCUCACCAAGCCGACGAUCUGUAGCUGGUCUGAGAGGACGACCAGCCACACUGGGACUGAGACACGGCCCAGACUCCUACGGGAGGCAGCAGUGGGGAAUUUUGGACAAUGGGCGCAAGCCUGAUCCAGCAAUGCCGCGUGCAGGAUGAAGGCCUUCGGGUUGUAAACUGCUUUUGUACGGAACGAAACGGCGAGCUCUAAUACAGUUUGCUAAUGACGGUACCGUAAGAAUAAGCACCGGCUAACUACGUGCCAGCAGCCGCAGUAA